rnacentral:tRNA from 1 species
GAGUGUAUAGCUCAGCAGCAGAGCAUGUGCUAAGUAUGCAUGAAGCACAAAGUCGUGGGUUCAAUCCCCAGUACCUCCA